rnacentral:rRNA from 1 species
GAUGAACGCUGGCGGCGUGCCUAAUACAUGCAAGUCGAGCGAACAGACGAGGAGCUUGCUCCUCUGACGUUAGCGGCGGACGGGUGAGUAACACGUGGAUAACCUACCUAUAAGACUGGGAUAACUUCGGGAAACCGGAGCUAAUACCGGAUAAUAUAUUGAACCGCAUGGUUCAAUAGUAAAAGACGGUUUUGCUGUCACUUAUAGAUGGAUCCGCGCCGCAUUAGCUAGUUGGUAAGGUAACGGCUUACCAAGGCAACGAUGCGUAGCCGACCUGAGAGGGUGAUCGGCCACACUGGAACUGAGACACGGUCCAGACUCCUACGGGAGGCAGCAGUAGGGAAUCUUCCGCAAUGGGCGAAAGUCUGACGGAGCAACGCCGCGUGAGUGAUGAAGGUCUUCGGAUCGUAAAACUCUGUUAUUAGGGAAGAACAAAUGUGUAAGUAACUAUGCACGUCUUGACGGUACCUAAUCAGAAAGCCACGGCUAACUACGUG